rnacentral:rRNA from 1 species
GAUGAACGCUGGCGGCGUGCCUAAUACAUGCAAGUCGAGCGAACAGACGAGGAGCUUGCUCCUCUGACGUUAGGGGCGGACGGGUGAGUAACAUGUGUAUAACCCACCUAUAAGACUGGGAAAACUUCGGGAAACCGGAGCUAAUACCGGAUAAUAUACUGAACCGCAUGGUUCAAUGGAGAAAUACGGUUGUGCUGGCACGUCUCGAUGCAUCUGCGCCGCAUUAGGUAGUUGGUACGGUAACGGCUUACCAAGGGAACGAUGCGUAUCCGACGUGUGAGGGUGGUAGGCCACACGGGAGCUGAGCCGCGCUCCAGACUCCUACGGGACGCCGCAGUCGGCAAUCGUCCGCAAUAGGCGAGAGCUUUGCGGAACAACGCGACGCCUGUGAUAACGAUCUCCGGAUCGUAAAGCCCUGUUACUAGGGAAAAACCACUGUGGACGUAGCUAUAGACUUCGUGACGGUACCUAGUCAGAAAGCAACGGCUAACUACGUG